UACGUAGGUGACAAGCGUUGUCCGGAUUUACUGGGCGUAAAGAGCGCGCAGGCGGUCGGUCAAGUCGAGUGUGAAAGCCCCCGGCUCAACUGGGGAGGGUCAUUCGAUACUGAUCGACUCGAAGGCAGGAGAGGGUAGUGGAAUUCCCGGUGUAGUGGUGAAAUGCGUAGAUAUCGGGAGGAACACCAGUGGCGAAGGCGACUACCUGGCCUGUUCUUGACGCUGAGGCGCGAAAGCUAGGGGAGCAAACGGGGAUUAAGAA
rnacentral:rRNA from 1 species